GACGAUCUGCUUUUUUACAAUAAACUAAUGUGAACUUAAUUGUAAGAAUAUGUGAUACUAUUAGGAAAUUGAAGUGCACAGAGGUGAGGUCAAUCUUGCCGAACUAGUCAUAUACCAAGUUUAAAUCUUGUUGUUCCAAUUCCACUUUCUCUGCUCCAAGAAAUCGUACUACAAAGGAAAAAUCUGCUUCAAGAUAUCCAACCACAGGAAAUAUCUGAAAAAUGAAAGCACCUAGUACGCUAUGAAGACACAUAUAGAUCCACUUAAAAAAGAAAGACACAUAGAUCCAAAUUAACAGACAUUAGUUGUGGAAACAUUCUUUAUUCGAGCGACCAAAAUUCACAACACACCGGAAAGAAACAUGAGUAAGAUGCAUUUGGUGCCUAACUACUGAUAUAAGCACAAAAGAAACCAACUCCACGACGUCGGAACCAAUAGAAACUAUAACCCACCCAAACCAACAAUACACACUAGUUCCUGUUCUAAAAUUCAAGCAUAAACAGACCCAUUUGCAGCAUAAAGGGCACCGCGUGUUCAAGGGAAAUUACACAAUCGAGCAACAACUAAAUUACCUACCAUCAAGACUAAUCAGAUUUGUGCCCAACAAUGUUGGUUUACGCGAAUAACAAGUUCAGAAAAGAAAACUUCUGGUUCAAGGAAAUCUAACCAUAUAAUGAACAAAUCUAACUAACUAAUUACGCAGAUUAGGAACCAAUAGCACGAAAUUAUCACCAGAUAGAUGAUAUUAGACAGAUGAAUCGUAAACCAUAAACAAAAACUAACCAAUGGUUUUGAAACCAAGUUGUGCAUGUCAGUUCUGCUCGAAUGGUUCUGCUAGAUUGCGUUCAAUCUGCCGUCGUCAUUCAAAUCCGUUUCACGAACUACAACUUCUUUAUCAGUGCUAGACGGUGGAGCUCGACGAAGAGAAGCAUGACCCGUUCUCUGGCGAGUGGCGUUGUCUUGAAGUCAUCAUCUAAAGUAUUUGGAUGAUGCUAAGAACAACGAUGAGUGUUUCUGGUUGGUGCAGGUCGUGGCGGCAUUGUCUCUUCAACGUCAAACGACGGCGAUGUUCUACUCUCCUAGCCGUUCGGAGUCGGUGUUAAAGAAAGGAGCAAAGGCGGGGUGGUUUUUUCUUUCAGCCGGAACUAAAAUGGAAGACACAAAUGAUGAGGGCUUACAGACCGCAAUCAUCGCCAAAACUAAAAAUUAUAAAAAUGAUCGGUCACCGUCAAAUAACCUAUGGAAUGCUACAACGAAUGAAGGGGUGGUCGGUGGCCAAAUCCCUUUACCUUGUCUUUGACUCUUACAACCAUUCUCUUUGUUGGGUCAUCCUGAUCUUUCCUCAUGUCAUGAAUGAAAUCUAGCAAAUCACACAUCUCUUUGAAGAAUAAAUGUGAGUUGACGAGCUCGAACGAAGAUAUACGGACGGCUCCAACUUGAUUCUGCAUGAGAAUUUUAAUUAGGGUUCUAGACUAAUAGUCAGAAAUUGAGAAGAAUGAAGACGAGAACUCACUUACUUGCUUAGAAGGAUGAACAGAACGUGAUGAAAACGAGAAGCGGAAGACGGGCAGAGUCAAUGGUUGGGACGAUCGAGGACGAGCAGAGCACGAUUGAGGUAUGAGGAGAGGAGGCGAAGACGACGAGCAGAAGAAUGAGAUAAGAAUUAGGUUUCUUUGCUGUCUGUAAUUGAGUAAUUGAAUUGUUC
rnacentral:lncRNA from 1 species